rnacentral:rRNA from 1 species
UGUCGAUGAAGAGCGCAGCAAACUGUGUGAAUUAAUGUGAAGUGCAACCUGCCAUGAACAUCGACAACUUGAUUGCACAUUGCGGCCAUGGGUUAGCCUGUGGCCACGCCUGUCCGAGAGUC